rnacentral:tRNA from 1 species
AGCGGAGUAGAGCAGCCAGGAGUGCUCGCUGGGCUCAUAACCCAGAGGUCAUAGGUUCAAAUCCUAUCUCCGCUA